GGUUUUUUAUUAACUUUGGCCAGGUUGUUAAAACCAGGUAUCUAAAUCCAGCUCAAUAAAGGACUAUUUCAGUAACCCCAGGCUGUGGAAUCAACAGAGAAAACACCCAGUAGGAUUAAGGGCCUGGGCCCAGGACAUGGAAUAGGGGGUAAAACUGCG